GUAUCCUAACCGUGCGAAGGUAGCGUAAUCACUUGUCCUUUAAAUGAGGACUAGUAUGAACGGUUUCACGAAGGCUGCACUGUCUCCUUUUUCUAAUCAGUAAAACUAAUCUUCCCGUGAAGAAGCGGGAAUUUUCCUAUAAGACGAGAAGACCCUAUGGAGCUUUAAACAAUUGAUACACUUGCAUCUUAAACCUCACUUUUUAUUUAACCAAGCAUUUUGUUUCUAGUUUUAGGUUGGGGUGACCGCGGAGAAAAACCUAUCCUCCAUGUCGAAAGAAAUUCUAUUUCUUAGCAAAAAGCCACAUCUUUAUGCAUCAACAAAUUGACCCUAAUUGACCCAAUAAUUUGAUCAACGAACCAAGUUACCCUAGGGAUAACAGCGCAAUCCACUUCAAGAGCUCUUAUCGACAAGUGGGUUUACGACCUCGAUGUUGGAUCAGGGUAUCCAAGUGGUGCAGUCGCUA
rnacentral:rRNA from 1 species